AACACACCGCGGAGUUAUGGGUAGCGGUAGCCGGAAGCUAUAUCCCGGCUCCCGCACUGUGCCUGUACCAGCUCCUCGUUCUCCUCCCCGCAUGUGUGCCGCAGCAACAGUGAGAGGAGGCUAGCUGGAUCAGACACCCACAGCAGCCGCUUAUCGGAGUGAUUGUACUGCAGCUGGGGUGACAGUGGGGGCAGCGCAGGGGGAUCUGGCACAACAGCAAAGAGCCCAGCUGUAAUGAGGGAGUCAGCAAGAUGCACAGAAACCCGGCCAGAGAGGAGAAGGAAAGAACCACACAAGCUGAGGGAAAGCAUGUGAAGGUUGCAGUUCACAAUACGUGAUAUUUGAUGCAGCAUACAGUACAUGGUGGUGGCCAGUGCUAUUUUGCAGCAGGAAUGCUGUUCCUAAACCUGUCCUGGGCCAAAGUGAUUUUC